UACCAGCUCUCCGAGUGGUAGGGAUGAUUAUUGGGCUUAAAGCGUCCGUAGCCGGCUUAGCAAGUCUCCUGUUAAAUUCAGCGACCUAAUCGUUGAGCCGCGGGAGAUACUACUAGGCUAGGAGGCGGGAGAGGUCGACGGUACUUCUGGGGUAGGGGUGAAAUCCUAUAAUCCCGGGAGGACCACCAGUGGCGAAGGCUGUCGACUAGAACGCGCUCGACGGUGAGGGACGAAAGCUGGGGGAGCGAACCGGAUUAGAUACCCGGGUAGUCCCAGCUGUAAACGAUGCGGGCUAGGUGUUGGGGUGGCUACGUGCCACUUCAGUGCCGCAGGGAAGCCAUUAAGCCCGCCGCCUGGGGAGUACGGCCGCAAGGCUGAAACUUAAAGGAAUUGGCGGGGAGCACCACAAGGCGUGAAGCUUGCGGUUC
rnacentral:rRNA from 1 species